rnacentral:rRNA from 1 species
CCUACGGGAGGCAGCAGUGAGGAAUAUUGGUCAAUGGACGAGAGUCUGAACCAGCCAAGUAGCGUGAAGGAUGACUGCCCUAUGGGUUGUAAACUUCUUUUAUAUGGGAAUAAAAUGUUCCACGUGUGGGAUUUUGUAUGUACCAUAUGAAUAAGGAUCGGCUAACUCCGUGCCAGCAGCCGCGGUAAUACGGAGGAUCCGAGCGUUAUCCGGAUUUAUUGGGUUUAAAGGGAGCGUAGGUGGAUUGUUAAGUCAGUUGUGAAAGUUUGCGGCUCAACCGUAAAAUGGCAGUUGAAACUGGCAGUCGUGAGUACAGUAGAGGUAGGCGGAAUUCGUGGUGUAGCGGUGAAAUGCUUAGAUAUCACGAAGAACUCCGAUUGCGAAGGCAGCUCACUGGACUGCAACUGACACUGAGGCUCGAAAGUGUGGGUAUCAAACAGGAUUAGAUACCCCUGUAGUC